GACGAACGCUGGCGGCGUGCUUAACACAUGCAAGUCGAACGGAGCGAAUGAAAGCUUGCUUUUAUAAGCUUAGUGGCAAACGGGUGAGUAACACGUAGACAACCUGCCGACAGGAUGGGGACAACAUUCCGAAAGGAAUGCUAAUACCGAAUGAAGCGGAGGAGAGGCAUCUCUCCUCUGUGAAAGAUGGCCUCUAUAUAUAAGCUAUCACCUGUCGAUGGGUCUGCGUCUGAUUAGCUGGUAGGUGAGGUAACGGCUCACCUAGGCGACGAUCAGUAGCCGGUCUGAGAGGAUGAACGGCCACAUUGGGACUGAGACACGGCCCAGACUCCUACGGGAGGCAGCAGUGGGGAAUCUUCCGCAAUGGGCGCAAGCCUGACGGAGCAACGCCGCGUGAGUGAAGAAGGUCUUCGGAUCGUAAAGCUCUGUUGAUGGGGACGAACGUGCCUAAUGCGAAUAGUAU
rnacentral:rRNA from 1 species